GCAAUGCAGUGGAUCUCUGACAGCUGCAUUUUUGCCAGAGAGAACUGAUAAAAUUUUUUUUGGAGUGAAAUUUAAAGAAGUUGCAUCAGGAACUCCCCAACACAAAUAACAGGCUGUCAGCACCAGUGUCAUUUCAUCUGUGCUAAUAUUGCAGAGGAGCACAGAAUAUCCAGUAGCAACUAUCCUGACUUUACUGAGGUUAUAUAUACAUUUUACAGAGCUGUUAGUGAAAGCUUUCCUGGCUUAUCUCUUAACACAGGGAAAGCUUGCUGUAGAAACUAAAAAUAAAGAGGGUAAAUUGCAAUACUAAAACAAAGCAGGAAAAAAGCCUUUUGAAGUGUUGCCCCGUGGGGCUAGGUUAGACUAGUUCGGUCAGGUUUGAAAAGCAUUAGAAGACAGAGGAUCUGAAAAUGCAGAGAAUCACGGUUCUGACAUGAGAGAAAAGGAAUUUUACCCAUCUCAUCAGUGAGAGAUGUAAGACUGAGCAAGACAGAGGCAAACCCUCUAAAGAAUUUUGAUGUGGAAAAAAACAUGUGACAAGCAGUCUGCAGUCCUCAAAUUCCAGAAACAUAUGGUUUUCCUCUUAGAGUGGAAGCAACACAUAAUUAGGCUAUGACCAAGAUAAUCUGCAAGAUAUUUGCAGUAGCAGCAAUGAACAUGUCAGAGGGGAGUCUGAUUCCAGCCAAAACAUGGAUCUCAAGGUGGACUUCCAGGCGAGCCAGGGAUACAGGGGGCUGAGGCAGCAGGUGAACACAAAACCCUGCAAGCUGGGAGGAAGGUGAAGGAUAGAGAGACAGCGGAAUGUUGCCAGUGUUACAUGAAGAAACUCUGAGAUUUCUGUUACUGAUUUUUUCUGUGUGUGAUUUUGUAACAACGUGGGAAAGCUGGUAAGAUGUGUGUGUGUCUGUGAAUGCAAAAUUUGAAAAGCAAUCUAUACCUGGAAAAAUAUGGCAUCAACAUAAUAUGUAUUAGAAGCCUUUUAAAGGAAAGUUGUCCUAUGCCUUCUUAAGGAUACCUAUGAAAUGUAUUUAACUUCUAUCUCUGAAGCUAACUUUGAGGCCUCUUCACAAAGCCAAAGGAAUAAAGGCAUGCCUCUACGCCUGAUAGAUGUGGAAUUAGGAUUGUAAGAUCUGAUGUCAAAAGUAAUAAGACAAUGGGAGAUAGAAGCUAGUAAACAUCUUAAAAGUUAACAUUUUACUACUUAGUAAAUACUCCUUCACCUUCCCUUGAAAACGGCUACAACCAUAUGACUUAGAAGAAAACUCACCUGCUAUUUUCAAACUAUUGUACUUCAUUGUGCAAGACUUAAAGAUGCUUUAAGAGCCUUACUUUAGUAAGAAAAUGUAUAAUCAAGAUUUUGAAAAAUUAUUUCUAUCUUAAAGAUGCUGUUGUCAGAAGUUAUGUAUUCUUGCAAAGAACUUGCUUAUACAGACUGCUUACCAGGCUGUUCACUUCUACUUAUUCGUGAGUAGUGACUUAGUUAGCAACUGGGAAAUAAGAUUGCUAUUUAAAUGGGAAUUUCGUGGUAUCUAUAUCAAAGCAUGUAUCUAUCUUGAUCUGAUGCAUAUAUUGUAAAAGGUUUGCAGUAGGUCCAAAAUUGUUGGUCAUAAUUAACAGGAAAACAUAUUGGUAGUUCUAUGUAAGUAGGUCUAGGUAGAUCCUACCAAUGUGUGAAUACAAUUGGAUCUGUGAAAGAAAAAUAAAGUAAUACAUGAGCCACUGAUCCUGCUUUGUCUGUUGUUCCUUUUAGUAGAGAUAUGUGAGAGUUUGCAGAUCUAAUAUUUGAAAUAAUACAGGAGUUUAUUAAUUAUUUUUCUGAGCCUUUAUAUGAAACAAAAAGAUCACAAGCUUUAAAGUAUUAAACAGAAUUAGGAAAUACUACAAGAUGAUAUUUCCUCACAAAUCUGAAAUAUCUGAUAAAAUAUUUCUGGCAUGUACAUACUGCUAUUACCAUUUCAAAAUCUGGUCUUGCAGAAGUGAGAGGCAAGUUAAGCUUCUGUACAGUGACUACUCCUACAAUGAAUAAUCCAAUUGCAAGAACACAUGAGUCAUGUUAAGAUUUCACCUGACUGCCUGUUCCCUGGGAUGGAGGCUUUAGGAGAUGCAGUGCUACCCAGAGGAAGGUGUGGCUGCUGCCUUCAUUUUUUCACUAAAUAAAAUUAUUGAUGUGGUCUGAUUUAAUUAAUGAGCUUGCUUAUAACUAGAUCAGAUCUCUGGUACAAAAUUCCCUUUGGGGAAUGGUACAGAAUUGUAUUCUGAGAUACCACAAGAACAUUCCCCAACAGCUUAUUUGAGUUAUAAUUAGUUUUGCUGAAAUAUGUGGCAUGAUUACUCUGAGCUGGUACACAGCUCUGGUCCUGCACUAGGGGAGGGAACUGGGGACAGAACAGCUGCAGAGGUGGCAUCCCAGUUUUUCACACCUGCUAUUAUACAGAAGGAGCACUCGAAUACUAAUUCUCCUGACAAAGAUGGCCAAACUCUUCCUGACUUCAAAGAGAACACCAAUAAAAGUCAAGGAAGAGAGGACUGGCUCUCUGAGAGCCUCCAAGAGACCUGCACAGGGCAUCUCCUGGACAAAGCACAAGUCUGCUGACAGACUCAACACCCUCAAAAGCAACCUUUCCUCACCAAUUUAGAGGCAUAAAGUGUUUGCUAGAAUAGUUUAUCCUUUAAAUUGUCUUGGUCUUUUAUUUUCUUUCCAUUGGUGCCAUGUUAAAUUUAUUAAAAGAGAGAAUGGCCACAAGUCUACUGCUUACUAUUUACUUUGAAAAAUCAAGGUUUCAGAUGAGAGAAAAGAUUUUCACACUUAACUACAGUUUAAUGUAUGACUAGGGAAACUUACAUGGAAACCAGCCACUUACUAUGAACUCAAGAAACAAGGCAAAUAAAAAAUAAUACUUUUAUCCCUUUCUUAGGAAAAAUUCUUAUUGAAUAUCUGUCAGACUUGGCCCGUAGAACAAAAGUGGAAAAAAAGAUCUAUAUUUAUUAUCCUUAAGAUUCAAAAUUCAACAGAUCAUUCUUCUCGCAACCUGGGGUAAUUACUACCCAAAACUUAUUUAAAACCAUGGUGUGCUUCUCAUAAGGUUUUGUAACACUUUGGAUAAAAAGGACAUUUAGAAAUCCUGGUGAAUAUGUCACAAAAUACACCUGUGUUUUGCAAAGUCCUAAUAUACAUGUUGAUGUAUAAUAUAACAAGCAUACAUUCACAUACCAAUAUCUAAUCACUCUGUUGCACAUGUGCAAGUCAGUUCAGUGUGCGCAGGUAUGUUGAUGUGCAUGUGUGAGUUUUAGUAUAAAUGGACUGGUGUAGACUACUGUUACAAUACCAACAGUUGUAUUGGGAAUAUACAAUAAAAAUACUUAUUUUUAUAAGGGUCAUAGGUGGAGAUUUCUGUCAUGUGGAAGGUUGUCCUUUUCAAGUACAGGACACCUUUCUCAAAGGCAUUCUUUUUAAAUAUAUCCAAUUGCUGUGCAUCUGCUUAGAUGGACAAUAAUCUGACUCUGAAAUAGAGCUAUACAAUAUGAUGACAUAUAUUUAAAUGUUUAAUAUGUAGCAUUGAUUAAUAAGAAAUUACUUUUUCAACAUUGUUUCAAAGACAGCUUGUAAUUGACAUUUUUCCUGUGGAGCAGGCUAGAUAUUCCUGCGUGGCUUUAUCUCAUGCCUGGGAUAACCAUGUCCCAGAAAUCGUUAUCCUCAAAACUUUUAAUGUAUGAUGUAUAGUCCCCUUAUUUCAGUACUGGAUACAUGCAUUUCGUCCCUUCCCUUGAUGAGUGGAGAAUGUAAAGGCCAUUUUUACUUCCUGUCAUGCAGAAACCAGUGAGCAUAUGAGACUACUUUUGUAUAAGGAUACAUGUCUGUUUUGGGAAAAGGUACACAUUAAGUACACUAACACCUGCUUACUUAUAACCAAGGAUAUAAGCAGAUAAAUGUUUUAAAGAGCAAGAAUAUAACUGUAAUCUGACUUCAGAUUCUGAACUCCAGUCUUUCAACUAAAUACAAUGCAAGUGUGGGUUGGUACGGUAGGAAGAGAUAAUUUUCCCAUUAUAAAUUUUCCCAUUUAUCCUUAAUUAAAAGGAAGUUCUGAGUUUUGUGCUGUGCAAAAUGUCUCCAAUGACCUGGUUUACAUUAACAGUAAAACUAUCUGCUUAAUUUACAAUACUCAGAUGAUGUAGUUUUCUAAAAAUAAAUAUCUUGCCUAUCCAAUAAGGCAUGUAGAUUAUGGAUCAAAUACUCUUCCUAGUAUUACAUUGAAAGUAUAAGCAUUUGCCUAUUUUGGAAUUGAAAAUCUAUUGGCAUUUAUUACUUCUUGCCUAUAAUCUCUAAUUUACAAGUGACUAGAGCAUGGCUGAUACCCAUAAACUUUUUCAAAUAUUCACAUUUCUCUCAUGGUAAAAAAAGAAAUAUAAGGAAAGAGACAGAGCCUAGAGGUGCCUAGAGGUGCCUAAUUUCAAGCCACUUUAGAAUAUUUUUCAUUCCUUAAGUUUCAUUAACACCACCCAUCCUAAUGUGAAAUACAAUUAUUUUCAAAAUUCGUCAGUCCCUCUGUGACUUUUGGCUACUCUGGUUGUGUGUUCCAAAAACAGCAUUUACUUUGUCAUCAAUAUUCAUUUUUUGAUUCUGGUGCUGAUGAGAAAUGAGGAUAUUUCAGCAUGAGUCUUCUCUGUGACCAUGUACACAUGCUCUGCUAUUAUCUUAUGCAGCUUUGUAUGUUAUGCAAUAUAGGAAUAUUUGUUUAACAUACGUAAAUAAUCUUUUUGAAUCCCCUAACUAAAAAAUUGUUCUAAUCUUGAAAAUAUUUAAUGAUGUGCAUGACAACUAGCAACUUCAAUGACAGUUCAUCACGUGUAGAAAUGCUUUGUAAGCUUGAGGACAAGAGUGUGCUUGAAUUUAAAUUACAGUAAUAUUCAUGGCAUAUAAUAUACAAAAACUAUAAAUUAUAAAAUGGACUAUGUAUGAGCUUGCAUGUGUGCAGGCUUGCAGUCUAUGUGAAACAUCAAUAAAUUUAUUUCCAUACCAUAUGGCUGGUUCCUUGCAAGAAAGCAGCUUCAGCUUACUGUGAUUCUUGCAACUGUUCACCCGAUACUGCAACAAACUUUCAAAGCAAGAAGUAGUAUGUACAAGCACCUAAUUAUAGAAUGCAACUUCUUAUUAGCCCAUAAAAAGCAUAAUUUUUCAAAUUAGGUGUUUUACAUAAAGUCUUCAUUCCUGUCCCUCAACAUUGAACCCAGAGAAUAUGAAAGAAUCUCAGUUGCCCAAAACUUUAAUGAACUUCUUUUAAACUUUAUCAGAAAAAAAAACCCAGUCUCUUAUAAGAUUUUUUUUUUUUACUCUAUGAAAUCUUAGAGGACAUAAAUAUUAUCUAAAAAGGUCUUGCAGUGAUUGAUUCACUAUGUAAACCCAGUUGCUAUGCAUUUUUCUUUCAAGAAAAUAAUAUAUUAGAAAUUAGAUGUUUGCCGACACCGGGAAAAAUUUUCUAAAACUCCUUUGGAAUUUCAGGUUAUUACAUUGUAAUUUAAAAACUCAAACAAAUAGGAAAAAAGCAGCAAUCUAUCUUUGGUCACAGAUCCACUUAAAUGAAGUGCAGUCCCAGCAACAUGGUUUGUUAAAUUAAAACAUAAAUUAUUACACUACAUUUUCAUUUUGUUUAUUAAAUAAUAAUAAUAAUAAAAGUUUUAUGAAUUUAGGAGUAUGACUUUCAUUCAAAGGCGUGAACCUAUCAUGGAUUUUAGGGUCAGAAGGGACAGUUAUCUCACAAAGGUCAAGCUCUGUAAUCUGCAUCAAGACCUUAACUACUAUUGGAAAUACGUGAGUAUUGAAUAAGCCUUAAAUGAAAAGAACAGAAGGUUCUGGUUAUUGGGAUUAGGGCACUCUGAGUGCUUUAACCUCUAAUGUCCUUGCUUUCUUACAUUGCCUAUUCCUGCAUAAGUAGGUGCAGCCUCAAAAGGAAAGGUGACUUGACCCCAAUUAAUCUGAUAUUUAGGGCAGUUGCAGAGGAAAUAAUAAUAAUAUUAAUAAUAAAAAAGGUGGCCUUGAUCUUGCUGAGGCCAGGCAAGGUAUUGAUCUAGGAUUCCCUGUUACUAUAUUAGUUAACCACAUGCCUGCUUGCCUUCGUCUUCUGCUGUGGGCACUGUGCUUGCAUCUUCCAUGGAGCAGUUAAUGUGCCAGCUCCAAAGUUCAGCCUGGUGGUGGGCUUGGGCCACUCUGGAAAAGAACAAGCUCAAUGUUCAUUUACCAAAUUCAAACUUGUUAGAAACUAGCAAAGAUUAGUAUUUUCUAAGUUAUUUGUCUUUAGAUAUGUUAUAACUCAAUAUUUAUGCUUCAAACACUCCAUGGCAAAUUCUUUUAAUAUCUUUGAUAGGAGAUUGACAAACAUUGCCUUGUGCAAAUUAAAGUUGUAAAUCGUGUUUGAAAGCUAGAGUGUAACUUCAGAAUGUGCAGAUUUCUUGAAAUUUAUUACACAAUCAGCAACUUUAGCUAUGGCUUGUUACAAAUGUUUUAAACUGGUGCUUGAGUGUCCAAUAAUAAUAAUAAUAAUAAUAAUUCAUAAUUUUGUCCUCAGAAAAUACUGAAUAUAAGAAAUAGGUUUGGUUGGAUUUCUUUUGUUCUGUGUAAAUAGAAAUGUCUCUUAAGGGCAUGCAAAAAUAAUAAUUGAGUACCAUAUAUAUUGUUUUCUAGACACUAACAUUUUCAGAAUAUUAGAGUUAAGUUGCUUAAUUUACAGGAGCAAACAAAAGAUAUUUGCAGAAAUUUGAUACUGAUUUACCUAUUAAUAUAAUAAAAAAUAAAAAUAAAUCAGAAGUUUGCAUUAUGUGUUGAAAUAAUAUAGAGAAACUCAUUUGCUCUUUCUCAGUACCCCUUUAAUCAUGAAGUCUUAUAGCACACAGAUUUCUGUACUGGUAGAGUCCUUAAUACCAUAAUUACAGCAUUAAAAAAAUCAAAAGUAUGCAGAUAUGAUAAUAGACAAUAGCAAGAAUAAUAACAUUGACCUUUAUAUUUUGUGAAAAGAUUUACCAAAUGUAUUUAAUAUGCUCUUUUGCUUUAUUACUCUAUCUACAAUAUAAAUGCAGUCUUUUAAUAUUGAACACUUCCAAAUGUCUACAUCUUUCUCACGCAUAUUAAGACUGCAGAGUUAUUUUUGGGGGAAUGUAAAGUUUAUUUAUUUUGUCAGUUAGGAUAAAUCUUUUUUAAACUUUCGUUGCAAUGGAAAGCUACUCAGUGAUGAAGAGUAGACUGGAAGGAAGCUGAUGAAGAGAUCGUGGUUGAAAGGCAAGUGGUUGUGGUAUAUCUGAUAAGAAUAUUAAUCAGUAUAUUUUUUGUUCAAUGUCAGAUUUUACACUAUUCUCUUUCUAUACAUAUGCUAAAAUGGAUAUGCGAUUUUUCCUUUCACUGAAGAAGAAAUUAUCCAUAUUUAAGAAAGAGUGUCAAAAGAUGUAUGAAUACUAUAAUGAUACUGUUGCGGUUGAGACGGACAAACGACAUAGACCAAGUUCUUCCAGGAUGAAAGUAGUAGAUGCCAUUUAUUGCCACAAGUGCAUUUUUAUACAGUUAUCAGUUCAUGUGUCUCUUCACUAUUGAUUAGAAGUUACAGCAAUAACAUCUCAUUGGCUAUUUUUGCUAGCAUCAAUGUUACUCUUUUACUCCCUUCUCUCUCACGGGUACAUCCUUAACAUCCCCGGAUACUCCUUUACUCCCAUCUUUCUCACGGGUAGGCCUUAAUAUCUUCAAGGCUAAUUUCUGUUCCCAUGCCCUCCAUCAGGGAAUCCACGGACCCACCAUAGUCCCCCACAUGAUACCUAAUGGGACACAUAUACAUACUAAACAUAGAAGACUUCAUCCAAAAAUCUGUACUGUGAAGUCUGGCUUGUGCACUGAAGCUUAUUACUGUCAAGUAAUACUGCAUAACAGCAGCACUUUAAAAUAAUGGCACUAGUGGGAAAAAAAAAAAAAAAAAAGUAAAUACUCCAACAAAAACUGAGUUGUUUUAAAAUGGGGCUUUCUGAUGUUCAAGCAUUUGUUUUCACCUUCUUCCUACAACAAAACCCAUGGACAUGGUACAUUAUUUUGAACCAACAUUUGAGAUUUUUAUGUAUAACUGGAGUCUACCAGUUGUGUUUUUAUCUCAAGCUUGUGAGAGUACUACGACAGUUGAUACUACUCACGUUAGUAAGGCAUUGAAAUGAACCUAAACUGACCAGUUCCACAUUUCAUAGGAAUCCAGUGUGCUUUGUCUCAAGGAAUUUUUUUUUACGAAAAUGUAUGGAGCUUAUUUUCAGACAAAUAUACCCGAAUAUUUGGUUUUGACACAGAAAACAAAAAAGAAAAUGUCAUGACCCAAAGAUGCGAAAGGUGAUACAAAAAAGUGAAAGUUAGCAGAGUUUUGUAAAUGAAGUAGGUGUUGAGCCAGGUUUUCUAUUUCUGUCCACUCUUCCUAACUGUGGGGGUCAAAAUCAUUACUACUUUGAUAUUUUCUUUUUCCUUAUGACUAUUCUUGAUUACUUUGGUGAUACUGACCUGUAAACCCUUCUCUUAUGUACCUACAUGAUUGCCCUAGCAGAGAGGCAAGUCCAUUAUGGGUGUUUGGGAAUUUCCCACAAAUAUUCUAGCCACACCUUGAAGGAAGGACUUAACUGGUCGUGGUAGGUAAUCCCUCAAUGGAAAUCAUUAAUCACUGGAAAUGUGGCAGGCCUCAAAGAUGUGCUUUUGUCACAUUACUCUGCAUUUGCCAGAACUUUCUUCUAAAUGUUACUUCUAAGUGCUGUAAACACCAUCACUGGAAGUUUCAUAUUUUGCUGGAGGAAUAUCACGUCAGAAUCAGCCUUGAAAACAGGAAAACUUGGUGGCUCCGCCUUGUUAACGCUUUUGUAGAAGGCUAGCUCUUAAACCUGUUAGUGGUGCAGUCUGUGUUUACAUGAAAGCAGGAUCUCCUGAAAGCAGUCGGUGCUGUUCUGGCACCACGGUUGCACUUGCCUCCAUCGCCGCAAGCUGUGCUGGUCCUCCGCUGCCUCCCAGGCGGGGAAGGCCAGGGUAGCUCUUAAGUGGGAGAGCAAACCCAUCCCCUCUUGUACACCCCUGCACAGGUGGGCAUGUUUCACAUACACAGAAAUUACUUGGCGAAAAAAAUAAAAACAAACAGCAACACUUGAGCUAACUUUAUGUAGAUUAUUUUUCACCCAUACCAAGUAUUUUGCUGUUUUAGCUAUAAGCAUUGCACACAUUCAACCGUAAUUGCUCAUGAUGCUUUGAGGUUCCAGUGCAAAAUCUCACAGCUGGGUGAGGUUCAGCUUUCUCACCAAACUGGCAUGAUUGAACUCGCCUUGCUGAACUCAUCAGAAAUGAUAUCACUCACUGCAACUUUCUUAAGUUGGUUCACAAUGUCUCUUCACCAAUCAAAUGCAUUUCUACACAAUAUAUCCCAGACUUUUAAAAUUACAUAUUUUGUAAUUCAUUUUGAUAAAUGAUACUGUACACUUCCGCAAUUUUGUAAUGGUGUUCUGCUGUUAUAAAGCGGAAUAUUCAGAUGUGGUAUAGCACAUUCAAAAAGAAGGUAAGCUUAUAGGAAUCACCAGUAUAUAUUUGCCCAGUUCUACUGUGAGACAACAGUUUCACUUGCAUCCAUAUGCCUGAGGUACACAAGGAAUUUGGUGUUGUCAUGUGACUAAACAUGUUCACAUAAGAUCAAGCAAAAAACAUGAGAAAACCCAUCUAACAUUGUGUCAUUGUGUCUUUUGUGUGUGUGCGUGCUUCAGGGUACAGACCCUUGAAUUUGCCUUCUGUAGACAACCCAACAAGUCUAACCCGAACUUUGUUUUCCUCAGGGUCUGUGCUUACAGACUGGAAACUACAUAAGUCUAAAUCAGUCGGAUGUCUGAAUAAUGUACAACCAAUAUAAUUUCAUGGUGCCCCGUUAGCCAAAAGAGGAAUUCAAUUCACUGGUAAUUUUCAAACAGCUGCUGCCACAAGGCCACGAGUUUUAUACCAGCUGAAACAGCACAGCUGAUUAAGAAAACUGAGCCUCUUCAUUCCAGUUAUAAAAAAGCUUGAGGAGCUUAUAUUAAACACACACAGAAGAGCUGAGAGCUUUUUGAGCUGUACCACCAGCACUAAGCCACAUUUUUUUUUCCUUGUUUGGAAAAGGAAAGGGGCGUGCGUUUUGGUAUGGAGUUGUCCACCCCUUUUCUUUGCUGGACACACAUGGGGGUUCUCCUAGAGCUCCUUCCAGCCUGCGAAUACCACUCCCAGAACGGGGAGAGGUGCUGGCUGCUGGGUGAGGUGAGGCACUCCUGUCUGCCCUGCGGCUGAGACUCCAUCAGCCAAACACUCCCUGCUCAGGGAGUGACAGCUCAUCGUAAGGAAAGGAGGCAAGAACAAACAUUUAAAAGGCCUAAGCUACUCCUCCUUUACCUUCCAUUUUGCCUUUUUUUUUUUUCAUACGCUUUACAACUUUCCUCCUUGUUUUCAUAUCUCUGGUUUUGUGAAUCUUGCCCUUAACUUAUGCUGUGACAUUUCACAAAGUAGCAUAUAUUCCUUCUUCAGCACUGAGAAGAAUUUUUUUUAUAGAUGUCUUUUUGAUGUAGCUUUAUUUUUCUUUGGUUCAUUUUUUGUGCUUUCUAAUUAUUUUCAUAUUUCCAUAUUCUUUGCUGUAUUUUGUUUUUAUUUCAUUAUUUUAUUUUACUUCUUGCCCAGUCUUGUUACUUUUUUCCUCUAGUCAUUCAUUCAUUUUCUCUCCUCUGAUUUUCUUUCUUUCUGUCCAUUCAGUUCUUCCCUCACAUUCCUCUUUACUCUUGUUUUCCCUUCUCUAAUUCCUCAAUAGUUAUUUUUUCAUAAUUUUCAGGCAGUGUCCUUUAUGGCUUGCUCAGCCUUUCAAGUCCUGGUGGUGGGAAGGGAGAGGACUGGGAGGAGAGAAAACGAGGAAGGAGGCUGACUUGAACACACUGUUGUCCUACAGGAAAAAAAAUGCUAUCUUUGCAAAGUCCAUAAACACAGUUUGACUGACUCACUCUACGCCAUACUGAGUAGCAACCUCAUUUUCAAGGAUAAUGAGAGCCUCGGAGGGAUGGUGGUUCCCUGAAGAAUGAAAACAUGAAAGAGGACUUCCCCAAAGCCAUUGGGUGGAGCACAAAGGAUGUGGAAAGACUGGAGGGCUGGAGAGUAAUGAUUAUGAUAGAUAAAGAUGAGGAAUUCAAGCACCAUGAAUAUCAACAACGGAAUAUGUUGACAUUUGGCCUCCACUGACCAUCAGCUGGUGAAGCUGGUGGAGUCCACUGUUUUGCUUCAGUGAGUCUGAAUAAGUCCAAUGCUAUGAAUUAUAUAAUAAGUGCCAGCUUCAAAGUAUUUAACGACAUUUUAAAUUAUUCAUGAAUUAAUUUAAUUCAGAGGUUAGAAAGAAUUACUACUCUUUUUAAAGGUACUGGCAAUACCAUUUCAAUUUUGGUGUCAGUAUGGGUGCCUCAGCACAUUUUACGGAGGCUAUUUUCAUACAGAACAUACAAAUCAUUAUACAAUAGCUAGUCCAAACGUGUAUACUAAAAACACAGUUCAUGUAAAUUUAACUGGAAAAGGGACUUUUUUAUUCUUAAAUAUCUGUGUUAUAAACUUUACUGCAGAUACAGGCUUAGUUUUUACAGGUGGAAAAGUGAUUAAAUUAGUAAAACAUUAGUAAAACUGGUGACUUGCUUCAGACAUCUCUACUUGAGUGUUUGUACACCACCAUCUACGCCAAUAAUGUCUGACUUCUGUAUUUGACAUUUUUCUUUCUUUUUCUGUUUUCUAAUAUCAGGUCUUUUGGUGGUUUAAUAAAACAGCUGCAUAUUAUUGAUUACUCACCCAUAUUUUCUUUCUGUUCUUCCUCUAUGCAUUCUGAUUAGCAUAUUUUCAUUGCAGCUCUCUGUAAUGGAAAAUCAUGAAAAUGUGUCUCCUUAGAAGCCAUUUUUUCAUUUUAUCAUUAGAAAGAACAUGUGUGACAGGAUUGUAUUCUUCUGCAACUUUUUUUUUUUUUUAAUUUAUUCUGUUAAAAAGUGAGCACAAAGUCAUAAAACAAGAUCAAAGUCUAAUAUGCAUUUACUUUGCAAAAAAUUUAAAUUUCUACAAAAAGCUCCAAGAAGCAGAGUCAGGCCCAUAAGCAGAACUGUCAUGACCAUAUUUCUGGUCUGAGUUGCACCAAAAGCGGUGGUUUAUGAUGCACCUUGAAAUCUAAAGGAAUAACUCUUUGUUCUAAUGUCUAGUUUAAUUCUUCACACAAGAACAAGUUUCAACGUGGAGGAAACCCCAGGAAGGUUUGUUCUGUCAAGCUGCCUUUACAGUUGUGCAUCCUCAUAAUGCAGGUCUCUGUCUGCUGAAUCUGUAUAUGCCAAUGAUAGAUACAUAUGCUGGUAAUAUUGUGAAUAGCAUAUGAUCUUCUGAUAUGUGAACUGAAGUCUGCUUAAUCUACAUAUAAUUAGCUAAAGCUGUGUUUUUUUCUGUGGUACUCAACAAUGCAAUAAUAUAUCAAAGAUAAAAACUUCUUAAUGGCAUUUGCUCAUAGCAACACAAUGAAGAUGGAAAUUAGAACUGGUUUACUUUAGUUUUUAAAUAAGUUUUUCAUUCUUCUGCCUAUCAGACAAAAAUACAGAUCAAAUGAAAGACAGAAAAGAAAAGACACAUAAAACAAACUGAUUACAAGAAAGGGUAUAAAUUAAUUAGACCAGAAAGUAUUUUGGUUUUGCAGCUAUCUUCCUUUAUAAUCUCAAAAAAACAUCUAAACUAAUGAAUGUUAAACGUGUGCCGAAACUAACGUACGUGUAUCAACUUGUCUAUGCUUACAAAUGGAAUAAUUUAAACAGAACAUGGCAUAGGUAUUAGAAAAAUAAAGAAACAACCACACCUAUCCUUGUAAAGCAUGUAAAACUGAAUAACAUGAAAGAGCAUGAGUGAGUGAAAGAAAAUUGUAUGUGCGUGUGUAUACACUACUUAAGGUGGUGAUAUUAAAUGAAUGUAUCACUAACGCAAAGUGGAUGAGGUGGACCUGGUCAGCUUCCUCUUCCCAUGACAGAAUAAGAUCUGACCAACACAAUAAUUAAAUAAGCGUUUCAUCUGUUAA